rnacentral:rRNA from 1 species
GACAGAGGGUGCAAACGUUGUUCGGAAUUACUGGGCGUAAAGCGCGUGUAGGCAGUUUCGCAAGUCGGGUGUGAAAGCCCUGGGCUCAACCUAGGAAGUGCACUCGAAACUGCGAGACUUGAGUCCUGGAGAGGAAGGCGGAAUUCUCGGUGUAGAGGUGAAAUUCGUAGAUAUCGAGAGGAACACCGGUGGCGAAGGCGGCCUUCUGGACAG